rnacentral:lncRNA from 1 species
UUUAUGUGCAUUCAUGGCAGGGAUGCACACACACACACACAGAGACAUAAAAGAGGUUUUAGUCUGAUCAAAAACAAUUCAGGGGUUGAAAAGAUGGCUCAUCAUUGUGCUUGCUGGCCUUGCAGAGAACCCAGGUUCAGUUCCAGCACCCAUACCAGGUAGCUCACAGCCACCUGCACCCCAGUUCUAGAGGACCCAACACCACCUCUGGCUCCUGCAGGCACUUGCACACAGGUGAUGCAUAUACACACAGGCACACAACACAUACUUUUUUUUUAUUUUAAAAGUAUUUUUAUGCAGAAGCCGAAAGUUAAACAUAGUUUUACCCAUCCACUAUUUGAAAUCUUAACCCAUUAGACAAAGUUCAUAAUUAGCAAAAUCUGUUGUUUUAAUCCCAAGAAAACUUUUAAUUAAUGCAAACACUUCUUUUAAUAACUAGCUAUAGCUUUGUGUUGGGCUUUAAUGGGAAUUCACAAUUAAUUAUAAGGUUGCAGUCUUUGUUAGUAAUUGAUUGGGUUUCUUUUUCUCCUUCUAGAAAUUAGUAAAUGAAACAUUCCAAAAGCUCUGGUUUACUCCAACUCCACAUAAUGACAAAGAAGCAAUGACAAGGAAGAUUUUAAACAUCACUGAUGUGGUAAGAAGCAUGGACCAGGGUGUGGUCACUGAGCACAAGGCCAGCUGAUGCAUUGCCAUGGUGACAUGCUGUGCCUGCCACUCAGUACUGCUUCCCUUUCUGGGACAUCUGGGGCCUAAGAAAAAGAGAAAGGGUUUGCACGCGGCUUUCUCAAUACUCACGUGUGUAAGCGUUGUUAUUGGUGUGUUCCCAUUCUUCCAUCGUGGAAAACAGAAAAAACCAAGAGAAUAUGUUUUUUAGUUAAUACAUAAAUAAGCUAUAAGCCAGGCAUGGUGGCGCACUCCUUUAAUCCCAGCACUUGGGAGGCAGAGGCAGGCGGAUUUCUGAGUUCGAGGCCAGCCUGGUCUACAGAGUGAGUUCCAGGACAGCCAGGGCUACACAGAGAAACCCUGUCUCAGAAAUAAAUAAAUAAAUAAAUAAAUAAAUAAAUAAAUAAAUAAAUAAAUAAAUAAGCAAGCUAUAAUUUGCUUAUCCACAAUGCUUUCUCUAUGUUGAAUAUUAGAAAUUUUUAUAUAUACUCAGUUACAUGGUCAUCUCUAUUUCACAGUUAGCAAUAAAUCUUAGAGAGUGAAGAAACAAAACACUUUUUUCCAUUGUUUGAAACCUUAUAGAUUUUUCUGAUAGAAUAUAUCAAGCUAUUUUUUAAUAAUUUGGUAUCAUAUCAGUUUUAAUAUUAACUGAUUUCUUUGUUUUUCAUAAGUGUUUGAGUUACUGAAAAAAUAAUUUUAAGAAUAACUUUUCAAAUUAAAAAAGUAUGCAUAUACUUCAUGCUACAGCAUAACUAUAAUACUGUUGUAAAAUAGAUGUCUUUUGUUUUAGUUUUUGAGAUAUAAUACAAUUUCAACAUUUCUCCCUUCUCUUUCCUUCCUCUAAACCCCUCCUUGCUCUCUCUGAGGUUCAUGGUCUCUCUUCCUUGUGGCUAUGACUACUUACUUGUAGAUACAACUAUACAUUUAUACUCCACAAUGUAACUGGCACAAGUCUUUAUAACGUUAUUAUAAAUGCCUUAUUUUAAGAAUUUUAUUACCUUUUCACCGUAGGUUGCAGCAUGUAGAGAUACUGGAUAUGACUGGUUUGAGCAACUCCUUCAAAAUGUGAGUAUAAUUUUGAUAGCAUGAAAUUUAAUAAAGGGUCUUUAUCAUUUUAAAAAGGAAUUUUUCAGUUCCUAAAUAUUUAUGUUUUAGUAGGUGAAACUUAUUUCACUAUGUUAAGCUGUGUCUUUUAAGUUGGUUAUUGAAUCAGUUAUCCAGUUGACUGCUAAGUUUUCCGAAUUACUAGUUGAAAUUUUAGCUAUGCUUUCAGGUAAUUUUUUUUCUUAUCCCUUUAAUCUAGAACAGUAGUUCUUAUUCUUCACAAUGCUGCAAUCCUUUAAUAUAGUUCCUCAUACUGUGAUAUAAUAUAAUAUAGUUCCUCAUACUGUGAUAGAUGGUGACACCAAACCAUAACGUUAUUUCAUGUUUACUUUAUAACUGUGAUUGGGCUUCGAUUUUGAAUAGUAAUGUAAAUUCUGACAUACAGGAUAUGUGAUAUGUGACCCCAAAGUGGCCUUGACCCACAAGUUGAGAAGCACUAAUCUUACUAAGGCCUACUCAUGAAAUCUAUAAAUGAAUAUAAAAGUAACAUUAAGUUAAAUAAACAAAUAAUUAUUUGGCCUAUUACAAAAUAUGUGGCAUUUCUUUUAGUGUUGUAAAAUUAAACCACAGUUAGUGCUUUCAGAAGUUUUCAAUUAAGAGUGUUCGUCUCCAGUCUUUAAAAGUUAACAGCAUGUUUCCUUCCCGUCUGUGUAGGAGGUAGGAAGUGUGUGUGCAUGUGUGGAAUCUAGAAGAGAAUGUAGGUGUUCUUUCAGUCUGUCUUGUUCUCUUAAGACUCUCAACCCUCUGUCUGAAACUCACCCAUUUGCCUAGGCUCGUGAGGCAGUAAGCUCCCCAUAGCCUCCUGUUUCCACCCCCAGUGCUGGGGAUACAGACACAUACAGCCAUGCCCAGCUUGUCCAUGCCUGUUCAGGACGUGAAGUAUGCUCCUUACCCUUGCACAGCAAGAGCUCUUACUCACUGACUUAGUUCUCUAACACUUUGCCCUACUUUUUACUUUUUUGGAGGCAAUAUCUCACAACAGGGUUUCUCUAUGCAGCCUUGGCUGUCCUGGAAUUUACUUUGUAGACCAGGCUGGCCUCGAACUCAAGAUCUUCCUGUCUCGGCCUCCUGAGUGCUAGUUGAAGAGAGAGAAUUAAAAGUAAUAAUCAUUGCCCUUGCAGAAGACCUGAGUUCAGUUCCCAGUAUCCAAAUGGCAGCGCACACCUAUUUGUAAUUCCAGUCCCAGACAAUCUGACAGACUGUUGUAACCGCUAAGGUCAUUAGACAUGCAGGUAGUCCAUAUCCAUCCAUGCAGGUAAGAUAGUCAGUCAUACACAUAAAACAGUAACUAGAUAUAAAUAAAAAAGACAUCGUGUCUGUAGGCACUACUACUCAGUUAGGGCUGUGCCUUUCUACCCUAGAAAUGUAAAAUCUGAAAUACUCCCCAAUUCAACAUCUUUGAGCACUGAGCUGAUUCCACAGAUUGAAAAUCCCCCACAUUUGGCAGUGGUGGCACACACCUUUAAUCCUCACAUUUGGGAGUUCAAGGCCAGCCUGCUCUACAGAGCGAAUUCCAAGACAGGUAAAACUACACAGAAACCCUGUCUUGAAAACCCAAG